AUAUGAACUCAUCUUCCCCUUCUUCUCUUCACAUUCGCCGCGCGUGAAUCGCAGUUGCCGCGUUUUCUCUCUUUCUCAGAUGCAGAUUUUCUCGUUCUCAACGCUUCCAUCUCUGGUUUCGUUGAAUCGAUAUUCUGUUCGUGAAUCUGAUUAGAUCUGAAUUGCGAUGAUGAUUGAUUGUUGUUGAUCGCGGUUUCGGUGGAAGAGAAGCGAGAUUCGCGUUGCACAGUGUGAGAUUAAGGCGAGAUGAGUUGUGAUAAUUUUAGUUGUUUGGUACGAUCCUUGAAUUUUAGUUGUAUUCGAUUACGAUCCUUUGGGGUUUCAUGUUUUGUAUGUUAGAUUGAUAGAUAUUGAUCAGGUAUAGAUAUUGAUAUGAUAGAGAGAUAGAUAUAGAUGAUGGCUAGGGUUUGUUUGUUAUUCGACCUUUGCCAUGUCAGGUGCGCUUGCAUGGCAGGUCAAAAAUACCUUAAUAAAAUUGAUAUUUAUUGUGUUGAGGGGGAGAGACAUGGUUUUGGGGCUUUUUUUGUGUAUUUGCCCAGCCAAGUUCUCUCCCCUGUUGUGUGUGUCUUGCGUUUCCCCUUCCCCUUCUCUGCCCCUCUCUCUUCCCCUUCCUCCCUCUUUCCUCCUAUUAUUGUUUACUCCGUUCUAGUGCGUGACACACAUGUGAAUCGGUCAUCGAUUUGGAACCUGACUGACUGCGAUGAGCUACACGCUGCGAUAAGGUAUUACACCCACAUUCAUUUGCCACAUAUAGAAUGAAAUUUGACAAUUUUUUCAAAUCAUUCAUACCCCGCACCCCGCAUUUGUCAUGAAUUAAUAUUUAUGAAUUACAAUUUUUCGGGUAAUAUGCUCAUAUAUAACUUAUCUCUAUUUUAUAGCUGAAUUUUGUAUAUAAUUUUGAUAAAUUAAGCAUUAUCUUUUAGAAAUUAAAUCAGUCAUAAUGUCAUAUAGAAGUAAUAGUUUUUCGUUUCGAUUUAACUAUAUGUGGCCUCACAUUUGUCAUGAAUUAAUAUCCAUGUAAUAUGCUCAUACAUAACUUAUCUUUAUUUCAUAGCUUAAUUGAUAAUGAAUUUUGGAUAAUCAGAAAGCGUGCAAUAUGUCUUGUGAUACAAUGGUUUGUAUUCAAUUUUGAUAAAUUAAGAAGCAUUGUCUUGUGAAAGUUUUUCAUUUCGAUUUAACUAAGUGGCCUUGAAUCAUCAUUUAAUAUGUAACAAUAUCAUCCAAGACAAGCGCAGUAAAAGUUGCAAAUGCCUAUGUCUAUAUAUAGUCAUAGACGCUUGUACAGCCCAACUUUAUUCCCGUUCCAAUCUCUUGAAAUUGAAAUUGCAAAGUUUGAUUUUUCAUUCAUGUAGAGAUGUAUGUUGGUUAACAUGGAUACUUAUAUAUGAUCAAUAUUAUUUUGUUUAACACUAGUCAUCAACGACUAUGCCGGUAUGGUGCUCUUUUAGUUUGAUUGAACUCUGGAUGCUGCUGUAUUAUGUAGCAAUAAGUUGCACUUGUACUGGAUUAUGGUGAAAAAUGUACCUAGUAUAGCUUCAAUGUAUCUAGUGUAGCUUCGAAGCUGGUUGUAUGUGCAGUUUUCCAUUGUGAUAGACAUUGGCUUUCGUCGCUUUGUGCAACCUGCAAUCUGUGUUCAAUUUCGACCUCUUGUCAAUCAUAACUGAAUGCCAGAGCCGUGGGCUACUUUUCUGAGGGUUCUUGUCGGAGGAUCACCUACUGAUGCUACAGUUUUGUGGGGCACGAUAAGCUAUUUGAUGCCUUGGUUUGAGGAUUUUUCUGAAGUUUGGGAGAUGCUGAUCUGCAUUCUUGCGUUUGGUGCUUUAUACUGAGUCAUUUUGAUGGCGGAUGAUGUUGUUUCUUAGGGAUUGCUCUAUUUUAUUGUGGGGAUUGCUCUAUUUUAUUGUGGGAGGACGUUCUGUUCAUACUUGCUGCAUUAUAUGCAUAACAUUAUCUGGCACGAUUGCUUUCAUUAUUUGUAACACAUGUGACAGGAACAUAUUGGGUGGUGUUUUUCUUCCGUUAUUAAAUGGUUUAUGUUUGCUACUGGUGAUUUUUUCAAGAUAUUUUUUGGCUUUGCUAGCUGCAUUAAAAAUUAAAUGAUUAUCAUUCAUGCAUGUACAAUCUUGGCCUCUUUGAUGUACAUACUACAUAGAGUUAUUCCAGAUUUCAGUGAAUGAUUUUAUUUCCUUGAUCAUCAUAAUUGAAUUUUCAUACCCAUUGUGCUAGAGUUCUUGUGAACAAUAUUUCCUUGAUUACUGUAGUUGAAUUUCAUAUCCAUUGUGAACAAAGAUACAGCUUUCUUUCA